UCUGCGUCCAUUAAAUCGACGUUUUGCCAUCGCGUUAUCCGUUUGUCAUCUAUGAACACGACAUCGUGGGGGUGUAAAGCGCUCCCGGUUAGGAAUGCACGGUUCUAUCUUAACACCAUUUUCCCGAUUGCUAACUGCUUUUAGUGAAAUGGCUUCCUCCUGUGGAUUUUUGAUGAUAUGAUGGUGAAAUGGCUCCCUCUGGUUCAAAUAUUGAGCAGCAAGCCUUUGACGGGAUUAAUACACCGACCGCGAUUGAUCCAGACAGCGCAGCUGAUGGUAAAACAAGAUCCAUCUCCAACAUUUUUAUGAGAAAUCAAAUUUUAUUUUUUUAGAUUUUAUACAAUUUAUCACCCAACCCGGCUUCCAGACUGUUAUCGAUCUCACGCAAGAUGCCGACGAAGAUCCUACUGUCAACGUAACAGACAAACCUCACAUGCUACAUGAUUCCACUCCGGCGCACGUCUAGAAUCCAAUAGGAUCUGGCGGCGAACCACUUCCUGGACCCAGCGAUGAACCAGCAAGAAAGAAGCCUAGAAAAACGAAUCGCCCCACCUCUCCGGUCUGUCCUGGACCAGGCGACGAACCACCAAGAAAGACUUAUCGUUUUACAGCGGUGGUCCGACCUGAACCGAACGGCGAACUACCAAGAAAGGCUUAUCGUUUUACCCCGGCGAUCAGUCCUGAGAGCUCUCCAGAGAGGAAAACUCUUUUGUGUGACACCACCGAAUAACCUGGCGACCAGUCCUGAGACCGCGCUGUUUUAUGCAGACUCGAGUAGAAGCCAUAAGGAUGACGUGACUACCUGGGGCACGUCUCAAAUCGAUGCUUGGGACCAGAGUUCUUGGACGAGCGAGCGUGACGAGGUGUCAGCCACCAAUGUGGGUCAAACACCAUAUCCUUCUCGCUCACCGUCGUCGGAAGUAGAAGUGGAAAAAGUGCCGGCGCCUCAGCCGGUUGAUGAACCAUUCGAUGAUCUGCCUCCGAUUCUAGCCCACUAAUUCGAUAGAAUCAUUUGGUCAAAAGUUUCGCGACGCUCAGGUUGACAUAAACAACAAAUACAUCGAACUCCGUGAUGUACAAGAUGAUAUUAACAACAAAUUGAUUGCGUUGCGCAACGAGUCUCGUGAGAGACAAAUCGAAACCCAUAGCAGAUUAGACAUGCUGCACAGCGAGCUCCGAGCGUAUCACCUCGAGACACGCAGUCGAUUCGGUGCUCAGGAUCGCUUUAUUCAGGAUCUGGCCAAUGAAAUAUUCCAUCGCGUCAAUGCUAUGAGAUCAACGAUUGAUCAGCAGUUUGAUAGAAAUGAUCGUAUAGUGAGUUAAUACCAACGGGAAUUGAUGCUCAUUUUGCAUCACCUUAUUCUCACAAUCGUAGAUGAGACCACAGAGUCAAAUUGAAUAUAAAUGUAUUCCGAGUAAUUCUUAUAUCGCCCGUUUAUUGUAAUAUUUAAUCUAUACUUUGUUUACAUAUAACCUGAUAUUUCAUGUAAUUCUUAUAUCUCACGUCUGCUAUGAUUUUUUUUAUAUUUCAUGUAUACUUUGUUUACAUAUAAUCCGAUAUUUCAUUUAUACUUCGAUUUUGUAACAAGUCAUAUAUGCUUUUUAUAUUCAGAUUUUGUAAUAGUUCAUUUAUUUAUUUUUUUAUACUAUAUGAAAUGUAUAGUUCAUGUAUGCUUGUUUUAACUCUAUCAUUUUGUAAUAGUACGAGUUUUGGUCUGAAAUCUAAAAAUGGAUGGGUCAGACGACUUAUAUCAAUCAGACCAGUCCUCCACAGAACUAAUGCCGGACGAGAUCGAAAUGCUAAGUAUACUGCCGGACUCAUUAGAACAGUAUUUGUUUAAUCUAGAAUCCCCUGCUAUUUUGGGUCAUUUUGAAUUAGCCGUAAAUUCAAAUAUGAAUUUGCUUGAUCCUCUGCUAAGCCUAGACAACGAUCCCGUUGUUCAACACGGCGGUGUUUUAAACAGCCCACCGGCAGCACUCCGUCGGUAAUGAUACUUCGCAACCAUCCACAUCAGGUAAUGUCGACCCUACUACACAGACUCGAUUAAGCCAUACAGACAUUGAGAGGUUGAUUCGCGAGGGUGGGGACGUUAAUGGAUAUCAUGCUUUACCACGACCUUGUUUCAAUAGCGUGACAUUGAGAAGGACUACGAAUCUGAGAGAGAUUAACGCUACAGAUUUGGCCUCUUACCACAUCCGCUUACACGACAAGCUUACUGGAAUUGUGAAUUUCGCUAGGGAAUUUGACACAAAUUCUCCGGUGAUCAAUAUCACAUUGACGGCUCCCAGUUUACAGACGCCCAUAAGUGGGAUUUUAACCCACGGUAAUAAUUACGACGUGGAUGGGUUUAUGGAUCAAAUUGAAAGAGUUUUACAGAGCAACGACUAGUUACUAUCUGACCAAACCGUAGAAUUUAAAGCUUCUGUAGCCAUGUGUAACAGAAAUGAGUCGAACCAGACAAAUUAAAGAGUCUAUCAAAGCUGUAUGCAUUGAAACACGAGAGCUGAAUUCCUCAGGAAGUCAUAAAUCAGUUCUAGUGCCACAAGAACCAAGCAAGAUAACCAACCAACCAACUUGUUCACACAACAGCUUUCAACAUUAACACCAAUAGAACAAUUAUUUACAAUUUUAAUUCAAAGAAGAAGAUUGUCAAAUUUAUUGUUCGUAAUUGAAAUGCAACGCUGGACAUCACAUGAAAACCCAUGAGAGUACUGCACAAGUCCCAUUAGCGUUUAGUCGGCUUUUAGUCCCUAGCUGCUGCUAUUGGCCAUGUCUGUUUCUAGGCUCUAGCUAUGCUUCUAGCCAUGCUGUGUAGUCAUCACUGUUCUUUGAGCACGGUUCCAGCAUGGCUGCCUGCUGCUACUAUGCCACGAUGAGAAGGAACACAACCUAGUCUCGUCAAACUUUAUUUCUUUUCUUUUCCGUUUGAGAGUUUCAUGUUCUGAGUUAAGUUUUGUAACGUCGACCUCGUCUGCGCGUUUGAACUCCAACCAGCCACACAACUCCAGCUUCAGCCAACGCCCAAGCACGGGCUCCCCAAGACGUCACUUCCAGCCAAUCAGCGACACUGGGAUACCCCUUUCAACGGGAGUCCCUUUCACGGCAAACGAAGGCAACGUAUUCCCAGAUAUUUGUUGUGCUGGUGUAUCUAAUAUAAUUUUAACCCCAUUGAGAAACUCAAUGCGAGCGCUAAUUAUGUGAUUGAUGGUUGUUCAUGUUUAUGCAAUUUAACGUAUUGCUGUGAACUUGGGAUUCCAUAUUUCCAUUCUCUUAAACUCAUCUUUCCCUAACUUUCGACCUUCCUGCAACUUGUGUGAAUGUGUGUGUGCGUGCGUUUAUGUGUUAGAUUAGUUUAUAUGUCUUAGAUUUAUCUAAUAAAGCCUUAUUCAUAUUGAAAAGAGAAGUAUCUUGUGUUUGUGCUUACAAGUUAAUUUCUUAAACUGCCGAUCUUGUU